CAUUCUUUUUAAGGUACAAGGUUUUUUUCUAUGCGGUUGCUUCUCUGGCAGAAAAGGGUCUUGAAAGCAUACACUGAUCACUUCCUUAAUAUGGAUUUCAUGAUUCAGCAUUUCAUAUAGUAAUAAUUAAUGGAAAAAUACAUCCAUCUCUAAUACUGAAGUGAUCCUUCACUGAGUGAAAAAAGGAUGCACCAACCUGGAUUGAAGCUGAGGAUGCAAAUCUGAUGUUACGUACAUCCCUAUUGCAUCUGUGGCAGCUGCCAUCUUAGGAGUCAGCUUUACGUGAUGGCAGCCCUGACCUUGAGGACCCAAACAACAGGCUGAUGUGCUGAAAGUCACAGAAACCGUCGCUGUGGAAGAGCUUGGUGUAAGACUGGGCAGAUGAAAAGGAGCAGUGGGAAGAGAGUAGGAUGUUAGCUGAAGGAUGAGGAGUGUAAAGUAGCAGUGCAUGCUGUUCUCAGAAGGUGGAACCAGGAGGAGGAGAAGACAACUGUCCUGUCCCUUUGUGCUGUUGAGGACCCUGGAUGCCUCAGAAGUGCCUGGGCAGUUGGGGUCCAGCUGCAGAGGGGCUCUCUUUGGUCAGCCCCUGGAAGGUCUCUGCAGGAAGGAGAGCACUCUGCCCCAGCCCCUCCAGGGUGGACGACGAGUUGCCUGGAGCCAACAUCUUCUCAAGCAGUUGCUCUCCCUGCUCCACAACGCCAGCCAAAAUUCUGCAACCAGCAGGAUGACUACCAGCAGUGCUGCCAUCUGCACUGGGCCAAAUCUGCCGAGCCCAGACAAGGACAGCCUGCUCCCUUUGGAAAUGCUGGUGGAGGUGCCUGAGAAUGUGUGCUGUAUUUACCAGCCGAUUACAUCCUUCUAGGCCCAUUAGAGCUUUUCUGUUCAGAGAUACCUUACUGUCUCCUCUCUUGAGAGAAUGACUGUGGAGUAGCUUCCUGGAAGAGCAGCCCCACAGCUGCAGCUUUCUGCACAAAAGCAAGGGUCAGGAAAGGGAAAGGCUGUUUGGUCUCUUUUCAGCCACCUGAGUUAAAGCCGAUGGUUUGAUGUGUGCAGGUGAAGGGGCUGGUGGAGUUUUUAAUUGAGAGAUGCAGGGAAAUCUUUGGGGAGAAGGCAGAUGGUCCUCUCAGUCAAGGAGUCACCAGCACCCAUCACCAGCUCCACAGGUAUGAGAAUGGACUGAGGACUGUCGCAGUCUGGGGCUUCUGGUCCUAUUUCUUAGUGUGUUCUUGGUGGGCACCAGUGCAAAUAGAGAGAGUUGCUGAGGGCUCGAGACUUGACAGAGGUGUUUUUCUAGUGGGAGCCUUCUCACACGUUCAGAGUGACAGGAUUCACGAAGCUAACAUCAUGACCUUUGUUCUGCAUCUGCCCUUCACAUCAAACAGAUGCUUUGAGAGCAAUGCUCUUACCUUAACACAAUUCCUGAUGAGGCUGGACAUAGAGUGUUAUUCCUUCAGCCCUGCUUGUCCCGUGGUCUCAGUUUGGCCACUGCCUCCGAGGGCAGCAACAGUUUACUCCUCAGGAUGAGCUGGAGCCUGAGGGCCUUGGCUCUGGCUUCUGAAGCUUGCUGGCUGAGAUGUCCUUUUGCAGAUCCUCUCCAUUCAGCGCAGCAGACAUAGCAGACGAUGUGACAUCCGAGGGCUGUGAAGAAAACAGAUUUAGGACUUCGGAUGUGUUUUGCUUCAGUUGUUUUUCACUUCCAAGAAGUCACUUUGCUGCACCGGCUUUGCUUUCUGGAGCUGCAUUUGAAAGAGCAAGGUGGCCAUGCAGGAGAAGCAAAUAGGGAGCAUCGAGCUGAAGCACUUCAGGUUGUACCACUCUCACUUCUUCAUGGAGCAGGAGGAGAUACGGUGGUGGAAAAGGGAACAGCAGAGGUAUGUCAGGUCCACAAACAGUGUAACAACCUGUCUCAUGUGUGAGUGUAGUUUCUGAUGUAAAGCUGGGGCUGAAACGUAUAGGGUCUUCUCCUCACCAAUAAUAGAAAAGAAAUAUGCCCCAGUGACUACUGUGUCUGCGAAAAUCAGGCCAGUGCUCGCUUCUGCAUAAGCAAUGGAUUUUCUUUUCUCAGCUAGAAAUUCCUAUGCUGAGACAUUACUCUCUCCACUGUGGUCACAGGAUCCAGCAGAAACAGGGUCCAAAAAUGCCUCUUCCUGGCAUGAGGUCUCUUGUGUGUUUUAGGCUUUUUUUUUUUUUCCCCCAGAAUGAUAUAUCAUAAGGUAAAAUGGAAAGAUUGUUUUUCAAGUGCAUUAGGCGUGUUCUGAAUCAGAUGAAAUACCUACGAGAUAUCACACAGGAAAAGACAGCUUUCAAAAGAAGAGCCUCCCAGCCCAGAAGAUGGUACCACUGCCAAAGGGAUAUCCACAGAAAUAUUUCUCAGGAGAGCAGAAGAAAUCCUGGCAGAAAGAAGUUAGCAAGCCUUUCCUUGCUCUCCUUUCCCAGCAUUAAUCAGAGCUCAUGCUCCAGGCUGAAUAGACUCCUCCAAUUAACUGAGUGUUGCACUGCCUUGUGAAAAUUGUGUUCAGAAGCGAGAAACAGGUGAUUCUCUUCAGAGAAGGUCUUUUAAGAAAGGACUUCAUUCUGUCUGAGGACUAAAAUCCUCUGAAAGGGCAAGCAAGGUCACCCAUCAGUCUGCAGCUCUCCAAAAGUUCAGAGUAAGCCUGGUGCAGGUUUGCCAUUGCACUUUGUGCAAUGAUGCCCUUAGAAAUUGCUCAGCUGAGCUGUUGUGUCAGUAGCUGUCUCCUUCAGAAAAAUUUAGCUGAGAUCCUAGUGCAUCGGAGCUUCACAGAGUCUAUUUUGCAGCCGGUGACUGUGUGAAAAAUGGAUGAUGUGAACCAAUACAUGUGCUUUGCUUUUAAGACCAAGGUAGAAAUUUAGCAAACAUUAGCUUACUACUCCAGGUGGUCCCUUGCCACCUGUAAACUUUUACAUUUUCAUUUUAGGUGCCUGUAGCUUUGGCUGCAGUCACUCCAGAAAGCAUGGUAGAUUUGCUUCUAUGCUUUGAACAACUGGAGAGCUUGUUAGAGGGAAGAAGGGAGUAUGAGUUAGCUUUGAUUAAAAGAAGAAUUGAUUCAAGUUUAUCAGGGCUUUACCUAACUAAUAUUUCUAUUGCAUGGAGAGGCUUGCAGGCACUCCCCAGGGAAACAUAAAACAAACAGAAAGAGAAAACAGACCUGUGAAGAGAGGAGUGAAAGCCAAACAGACAAUAAAAGGAGAAAGAGGGAAAAAAAAAAAAAAGAGUUUUAAGGGGUCUGCAACUGAACAGAUCCAAGAAAGCUGAAAACAAGAAGCCCAGGUCUGUAGCAAACUCUGCUCCUCACCUUUCAACACACUGAACACUAAGUAUAUGAAUGUUUCUGUGAUGCACAAGAAUGGCCCCAGAUAGGAAACAUGCACCUGCAUUUGGGAGAAAAUGUGUGUCGGGAGAAAAAUACCACUCCAAAUUUUGCAGACUUAAUGCUGCACUCGUUGAAGCUCUGCUUGCACAAAGGUAAGUGGGCACCCUGACAAGGUUGCAAGAAUCACAUUUUUUAGCUCUUUGACCUGCUCCCUUACCAAAGAGGCAAAGCCCCCUUUUUUUGUUCGUGUCAGUUGGCGCUCCUUAUGCUGGCUUGUAUUAUCUGAAUCCCAAAUACACAGCAAUGAUUUCUUCCAAGUAGCUUUAGACAUGGAGAUAUUGGCACUUCUUAGAAAGGGUUAUAUUUCCCCUGAGAUAAUUGAGAGAGAGAAGGAAAAAUAAAAGAUUAAAAAAAAAAAAAAAAAAAAAAGACAAAACCAUCUAGGUGCUGUGCAGAAGGGGUCUAGCCUGGUGCCUUUGUAUUUUUUCUCUGCACUGCCUGCUAGAGAGCAAAGCAGUCCAGGCUGGCUCAGUGCAAAGGGAUCCAAUGAGACCGCUCAGUGUGGUGUUUUGCAAAAAGAGGGAUGCAUGUCCUGGGCAGCUCAGCAGCUCUGCCCGAGGGAGCAUGUUUUGCCUCUAAAUCUGGGUUACCAGAAAGGGACAGUGGGGGAUGCUGCUGCUCAGGUUUUGGAAAUGACUAUGUGAUAGCUACCCCAGGGCUGCGUCUCCAGCCCUACAAAGGGACUCUGUAAAUCUGUGUAAACCUGCAGUCCUCUGAGGCUAUCACAGGUGUUUAAAUCCCGUAGUCACUUCCAAGAGUUCUAUUUUCUGUGCUAUGAACAACUCCUUUUACAUUGUAUUUCCCAAAGAAAGGGGAACAAAAUCAUGCCUGUCCCUGCCUUAGGAUCCUGCCAAUUCUUUCUGACUGUCGUUGUAGGUGCGGAUCUGUUUUAACCAGUGGGCAGCAGAGCUGUGAAUUUUGGGCUACCCGGGGUGUGAUGCGGCCUCAGUUCUUCAGCACUGGAUCACAUUUUCAAAAUUAUUUGUUAGCCUUCUUCAAAGCAAGAGCUAAAUCGAUUAGGACCUGGACAUAUUUUCCAUUUUGGCAUUGAUUCUAGUCAUGGUAUUGUUGAUUCUGUAGCUGUUGAAAGAGUUGAAACACCAUUUCUUGACCAGGUCAUCAAAGAGGAUGAUAUAUUUGGUAGUUUAUCUGAAUUGGUCCCUCCUACCUACCUUGUAAUUGUGUCCAUAACUUGGGUCAAUCAAAGUUUUUUCUGUAAACUAAAUACAUACAGCUGUUUCAGGGGAUAUGCACCCAUCAGGUAGAGGAUUUAUUUCCAAUGCAUUGAACUCUGAAGACAUGUGGAUCUUGAAACCUCAUCUUUUCUGUGGGAUCUUGGAGCAGUUUGAAGUGCUUUUUAAAUUAACAACAAGUGUAAACAUUUGCUUGCAUAUGGAAGGGCUUCAAUAAUCUGACUCACUGGUUAAAGACAACAGAAAUAGAGGACUGCCUGUGACAAGGAGGAGAAAAUGCCCUUAAUAUAAUUCUCUGAGAAGCAGAACGUUGAAGCCUUGUUUGUGUUUUUGCAUGUUAAGGCCUUAUUUACCUUACAUUUCAGAUUUGCUCAUCAUUUUAGCAUUGUUUGGGAGGAGGAAAAGAUUUUUUCUGUAUCCAUGAUAAUUUAUUUACAUUUAAUAAACAGCAUGAAAUCCUACUACACUGAUGAUAAUUUUUCCAGGCUAAUGAAAAUUAGAAACAAAAGUAUGCCUGCUAAAAUAAGUCUACUCUUCUGUUACAGUAAUAAAAAACAGUAAUUUUUUCAACUGCAUACAUUCAUAGCUGCAGCAGUUGCAGAGUUGCUGACUACCAUACUCUGACAUCCAAAACACAACAGAUUUGUUAUCUUGAAGACUUUAUACAAGUGUAAUAUUUUUAAUAUGGCACUCUUUUAAACUAUUAAUUGUUCAAUAAUAGAUUUGUAUGUGAAAGCAUAAAGAUAGAAAUGUGUUCCUGCUUGGCAAACUGAAAAGCACAAUGAGGUUAGUAAAUCAGCUGUUAAUAAAUCAGUAUUUGUUGCCA